GUGUAGGUUAUAUAUAAGCUUCUUAGAGAAUUCAAAAAUACAGUAAGUGUUGCAGUGACAGUCUAAUCUCUGUUUCCAUUUACUGAAUUCUUCUACUCAGAAAUGAUCCGUUAGCAGUUUCUCCACUUCUCCACCACUUGGAAAUAUUCUGUGCAUGUGGAAUUAAGACUUUGAUUUAAGAUUUAAGAAAAUACUAGAAAAAGGCAUGUCAAGGAGAGAGAACUGCAAGAGAACUGGUUUUAUGAAGCUGAAUAAACAUAGGUGACAGCGUAGGUGAAUCAAGAGCCUUAAUUUGAAGAAGAUGACGAAACCAAAAGCAAACAAACAAAAUGUCAUUUUCUGUAAUUAAUGGUGAAGUGAAUUCAACAUGGAAACCAAAAGCCUUCCGGAGCAGUGGAAACUACUCUGUUGGCAAGACCAGAGGCCCUUGUGUGUUCUCUUGUCACUUCCAGGAGUACAUGGCUCAUUAAGUGCUUCCCAAAGAGAACGGGACACACCAUUACUGAGAAAUAUAAGGCCAUUCCUGCAGGCUAACACAACAUGUCGUUUACGAGAAUGAACAAAAUGGAAAAGCUGUCAGUUAGUAUCUCACACACACACACACACACACGAUCUUAAAUUAGGGAAUCUCCAAAAUAGAAGAAACCAGUUUUUAAAAAGUAUGCAACCGAGACCAUGUUUUUUGGAAAAUUGGCACAUUUAACUGAGGUAUGCUACUAAUUUAAUAGAUAUUGUUGCUGUCAAUGAUGGUGGUUAUUCAACAUAAACCAUUCCUCCAAGGGAACGCAGUUUGUCUUGUUGUAGUGGUCAGCUUGUUUAUUCUCCCUUUAUUCAUCACGAGAAUUGUUCCCAGUAUUGGUUUGGUUGUUACUGUUGUGACAGUUACCUUUGUGGAGUCCAAGUUUUCUGAUCUAUAAAGUUUUCUGAUUUCUGGGCUGUAGUUUUUCUGUAACAAGUUCAGGUACCUUUGGUCAAAUUUCAGUCCUGAAGUCUUAUUUAUGGUUAGAUAGAUUAGCCAGGGAAUGCAUUACGGUUGGCCUGCUCAGAUGUAAAUUUAGGCCAUUUUGUUUGCUUUUCUUGUAGUAAAUAAAUGAAACUGAACUCUGCAAAAGACAGUCCCUUAUUCUUAAAAAUUUGAGGAGUGCUGGACAUAGAGACUUCAAGUAAUAUAUACUUGAAUAGUAAUCCAGAUAAAUGUGGGGUCAGAAGUAGGUCCUAAUCUGAAUAAAUCUUUAUUCACAAUGGUUGCUUUAAAAAAAGAAAUCUUUAUCUAACUUCAUCAGUUAUUCUCUAAUGUUUUCUUGUAAAAGUUUCUUGUGUAUGUUUCCAGAUAUUCUCUUAUCAUUUAAUCAGUUACUAUUUUC